rnacentral:rRNA from 1 species
AUAGGGGACCUCGAGUGCCAGGUUACAAAUCUGGCUGUCGUGAUGCCUAAAAAGCAUUGCAUAGCAAGGGCCGGGCAAGACCGGUGCCAGCCGCUGCGGUAACACCGGCGGCUCGAGUGGUAACCGUUAUUAUUGGGUCUAAAGGGUCUGUAGCCGGCCGGGUAAGUCUCUUGGGAAAUCUGGCAGCUUAACUGUCAGGCUUUCAGGAGAUACUGUCUGGCUCGAGGCCGGGAGAGGUGAGAGGUACUUCAGGGGCAGGGGUGAAAUCUUGUAAUCCUUGAAGGACCACCAGUGGCGAAGGCGUCUCACCAGAACGGACCUGACGGCAAGGGACGAAAGCUAGGGGCACGAACCGGAUUAGAUACCCGGGUAGUCCUAGCCGUAAACGAUACUCGCUAGGUGUCGGCAACGGUGCGACCGUUGUCGGUGCCGUAGGGAAGCCGUGAAGCGAGCCACCUGGGAAGUACGGCCGCAAGGCUGAAACUUAAAGGAAUUGGCGGGGGAGCACCACAACGGGUGGAGCUUGCGGUUUAAUUGGAUUCAACGCCGGAAAUCUUACCGGGACCGACAGCAAUAUGAAGGCCAGGCUGAAGACUUUGCCGGAUUAGCUGAGAGGUGGUGCAUGGCCGUCGUCAGUUCGUACUGUGAAGCAUCCUGUUAAGUCAGGCAACGAGCGAGACCCACGCCCACAGUUGCCAGCGUACUCUCCGGAGUGACGGGUACACUGUGGGGACCGCCGCUGCUAAAGCGGAGGAAGGAAUGGGCAACGGUAGGUCAGUAUGCC